rnacentral:lncRNA from 1 species
GGCGCAACCGGGGCCCCCUUGGAUGUCACAUUCGUAGGAAGAGAGAGAAGUCUUGGACCAUGUGUGUAAUUCGAGCGUGGGACUGUGCAAUUCUCGGAUUGGGAAAGGGAGGAGUGGAAAUAACCCCGGCAGUGCCAGGCUUGCUGGUGGUCAGGAACAGAUGAUUCCAGCCCUGUGCUGAUCGCCUGCCUUCCUCCUGCCAUUCAGAAUGCUGCUGUCUCGUGUACUUACUGUUAAGGAUCCUGGAAAAGGGAGUGGUUCCUCCUAGCUGCAAACAAGGGCGCUACUUUUCUUUUCUCUUUAAUAGAAUUACGUUUUAUAGGUGUGUCUAGGCAACACAAGGGAAUGUGAAAGACUUUCAGAGGGAAUGUUUGUGAAUACAUCUGGUGUGUACUAAAAAGCUGGAAAACCCCUAAGUAAAUGCAAUAUCGAUAGAAAGCGAGUUUCUUGAAGAGUCAUCUGCUAAACUCCACUAGAGUCAUCUCUACAGGUGUGGUUAAGAGAAAAAAAAAUUGCCAUUAAGGAAUCAGCAAAUAGGAUGUCUGAAGUGAGGAUAUAGCACCUAUCUCUGAGAUUAAAGUCAUCUGAUCAAAAAUGAUGCCUCUGAGACUAUAACAAAGGAAUGAAUAAUGAAAUAUAAGAAUGGGGAUUCUGCACUAACUCUAUGGGGAAGAAAACAAUGCUCUGAUAUAGCAAGACCAAACCAUCAUCUUUCUCCUCCUUCUCAACUCAACGUGAAGACAACAAGAAUGAAGACUUUUGAUGAUCCACUUCCACUUAAUGACUAUCUCUGUUCAUCAUGAGAAAUGCUCAGCGACUGCAGACAUAAAGAGAAAGCUUUCAAUUAAAGUUUCAAUGAUGGGAUAGGAACUGAGAAGUCUGUGGAGUUUUCUGCCUAGGAGUACCCUUGGAAAAGCCACUGCUAUGCCCAACCAGCACUGGGAAUCCCAGAUCACAUGCAAUCAUAGGAGUUGCCCUGGAGGCAGAAGCUCAGCACAUGUUCUGGUACAAGGAGAUUACAGUGUUGUGCAAAGCAAAGGGAUGAAUGAUGCCCAACUCUCUAACAUGGGCCUCGGUUUCCACAUCGAGGUUGGAAAUGAGCUAGGAAGCAGAUCCACCAUAAAUGGAGAAAGAAGAGAAACAAGUUGAGCUUUUAAUGACCCCGUAGCCUGACUCUUUGGUAUGGAAAUGGAAAGAGAUCCUCAUGGAAACAUAAAUAAAAUAUAUCACAUGUAACUUAUACCAAUAAUUAUUUUCUCCCCCAGUACCUCAAUUUUGCCCAGAUUGGACUCUAUUUUAUUUCCUUAUUUUUCCACAGUAAUUUACUUAAGUAAAACCAGGAUUUAUUUUAUUCAUCUCCAUGUCAGUUGCUAAGUCCAAGGGAUGUAUAUAGUUUAAAAAAUAUCACAAAGGAUGAUAUGGUGAAAUUGAACAACACAUUAUUACCUGAUGUACAGUCAUUGAUUUUGUAUACUAGCCUUUACCCCUGGCUACUGAUAAUUUUGGAUUUUGAAGAUUCAAAGACAGAGACUUGUAAAUACUUUAGUUUUUACACUUCUUUAUCAUACUCAUACCUGGGAUGGAAAAGUAUCAUUUAAUAUAUUAAGAACAUUGUUAUAGUACAUGUAUUUAAAUAACUCACAAGAGCAAGUAAUCUUACCUCAUGUCAUCUAUUUUUGAAAAAAUAUUUUGUGUAUUUCCACAUGCUUCUUCCAGAUGACCUUUAGCAAAACUUUGUGAAGUUUCAUUGUGGCUGUUGUCUUAGAAAGAUGGUCUUGUUAAUAAGGUCAGUGUUUUAGCCUUGCAAUAUAAGAUUAUGUGCAUUUGUUUAGAGGGAGACUUUAGGAUACAGCGAAGUGUUUUACAAAUGUUUACCAUUUUUAUUCUUAUUAGAUUUUUGAAAGUAUUUGGUUUAAAAUUUUCUUCUUUUUAUUCAACCAGCUCUUUAAAUUACCCAUCAAUUCUUGUUAAGAGUGUGUAUUGUAUAUCUCUCUAUACAUUUCAUGUAUUUUUGUAUGAAUUGUGCUAUUUUUAUAAUUUUUCUAUUUAGCCUCUGUAUCCAAUAUGAUUCAAUGUAUACAUGGAUGCCAUACGUAGGUACUGAUUAUUUCCUCUUUUAUUAUUAAUAAAUUCUAAUUUAUUUCAA